GUAAAAAAAAAUUAUAAUUUCCUAUUUCAUUUUUUUAUUCAUGAAAUGCAAAAAAAACCCAAAAAAAAAAAACAUAUUUCGUUCAUAUUUUUUUAGACCAAAAGGUGGAAGGAGCGUAUUUAUGAGCCUUUUUCAAUAGAUUAAGGGUAUUUUUGGACCUUUUCCGAAAAAAAAAAACAAAAAAACAUAUUCUGUUAGUUUAAAGGGUAUAUUUGAGCCAAAAACAAACCUUAAAGGUAUUUUUAGACCUAAAAGGUGGAUGAAAGGGUAUUUUUAGACCAAAAGAUGGAAGAAAGGUAUUUAUGAGCCUUUUUCAAUAGUUUAAUGGUAUUUUUGGACCUUUUCCGAUUUAUCAAUAAUCUCCCCAAAGUCUUUAUUAACCUCCUUGUCUAAAUAAGUGGAGCAAAAGUAUCAAUCAACUGUUCAACAGCUUCAUCACUGUCGCCUUCACUAGAUGAUCUUUUUCCCAUACUUUCAUAUUCAUCUUCACUGUCAGAUUCUCCUUCUUCUUCAUCUUCACAGAAUUCUUCAUUUUCCUCUUCAUAAGAUGAUUCAAUAGGUUCAUCCCUCGCACUAGGUUGCAUAGUAGUUGAGAUCUCUUUUGGAGCCUUGUCCUCUUCAUCAUCACGUGGUUUAGAAUCAGAGCUCUCCUGGAUUUGCAUAGCUUUAGACUCAAGAAUUUGAGUAUCAGUGUGAGUGUUUUGGAUAUUACUGGUAAAUUCUUAUUGUUGAUUCUUUUUUCAAAUGGAUUUAGUAGUUUGUGUAGGGUGCUUGGGUUGGAUAUUUGUGUGUUGUGUAGGCUUUGAGACCUUUUCUUUGUCUCUUUGAGUCUGCUUGUGAUUUUUCUGCAUUUGCAUCUUGUGUUGAUUAAUGUUUGUUUUCUCAAAGUUAGUAUCCUGAUUGCUCUUGAUCAUUCUUGUUUUUUCCUUGUUUCUUCUGCUCAUAUUUCUAGUUGACAUUAGCUUUGAGAACCUGCAUAAGAGCGUUAGCAAAGUGGCAUUGUGUUGCGUUUUCUUUUUGUGUGGUUGGAUUGAUAGUAAGAGGUGGUGAUAUCCUUGCUAUUGUUGGCUUAAUCAUUGUGUUGUUUGGGAGUCUCUUUGUUGUUGGUUUUUCUUGAGUUGAAUGAACCUGAGGCUUUUUAUUCUUCUGAUUACAUGUACCUUAUUGAUUAAAAGCUUGCUUGUAAUUCUCAGAUUGAAAUUUAAUUUGUUCCCAAACAACCUGUUUGGUGUUGUGAGUCUGAGUCUCUUUUGCUUGGUUCAUGUUUUCCCUAUUUUCAUUGCUCAUGUGGUUGCUGCCUUUUUGAGUCUUUGCGUUGCGUUUCCUAGUGACAUUUGUGAAGCCAUCAUCUUGUCCUUUAUUGUCAAUAGGUUGCAUACUUUCCUUAUUCCCAUCUUCUUGUUUUUUAGCCUUUAUUCUUGCAUCUCUAGCCUUGGUUCUGCAUUGGCUUUCCACGUGACCUUGUAGCUUGCAAUAUUGACAAUAAUGAGGAGCAUCCUCAUAUUCAAUGUCUAACCACACUCAAUCUUCUGAGUCAUCCAAUAUGUGAAACCCAAGCCAAAUUUGAUCAAGCCUUGGUUUUAAUAAAUCUAUCCAAAUUUAAUAUAGCCUUGGUUUUAAUAAAUCUAUCUCCAUUUAACUUUUGCAACAUUACCCCUGGAUUUUGAGUAUGUUUCCAUAUCUGGUGCUACAGCUAUGCCCAGUAACUUAGCAUUUUAGAGAUAAUAUCCCAUCUAAACAAAUGCCAGGGCAAUUUGUGAACUAGAAUCCAUACUGGAACUAUAGUAGUUUCCCUUUCAGGCUUAAAAUUAUGAGACCAUUUAAGAACUGUCAUGAGUGAUUCUCUAAUAUGGAUCCAAUUCUUAAAGAAGACAUGAUUGUAAUCGGUGAUGUUACCAAAAUCUAGGUAAACAUGUUGAGGAUCAAAAUAAGCCACCCUAACACGUUCUUUCAGAUGAAACUUAGAAUGAAAGGUUGCCCUAAUAUCAUCCAUAGAUGGCCUGCCGUUAAAAAAUUUCCCAAUAAUUGUAAGCUUACAUGAUUAAGCUAGAUUAACAAAGUAACCGUGUGCAUCAAAGAAGACAGCCGGCUCACUAAGGUGAGUUCCAUGAGUGAUACUCACCGGAGUAACAUUUUCCACCUGUUCGGCAAGUUUCCCUUAUACUGUGGCAGCAAAUGAAGCUUUGGCGAUGUAGCUUUCAAAAGGUUUUUUGGGAGCGGAUGUAAAAGCUUUGUUGGAGACAACUUUUGGGUUAUCCUCUCCAGAUUUAGAAUUAUCCUCAUUGUUGCCUUCAUGGGUUGGGAAUUUGGGACUUAUCAAACUUAGCGCAAAUUUUAGGGAAAUUAGAGGUCGGAACUUUAUAAUUUUGAGCAUGUAUGUUCUAAUUGGGAUUAAUUAUCUCCUGUUCCUUUUGGAUUUCACCAGAACUCUGGUUUGGGUUACCAAUGGGAUGGGUGUUGAAAGAUGUAUUAGUUGUAAAUUCUUUGUUAUUGACAGGGAGAAUGGAAACGGAAGGAGGAGUGGGUGUGGACGAAGUGGUGGCAGUAGAAGAGUUGAUAGUAGCGAUGGCCAUCUGAGUGUCUUCAUCCGGCGCUGGUGGUUGUUUGUCGGGCAUAGUACUGUAAAAUUCAAUUGUUAACAUAUAGAGAGAAAGAGACUUCCUAGAGAGAAGUCAGAGCAAAAAAAUAAUCCAUUUUGCUGAUACUGUUGAAUUUAGCUCUACUAAGAUCCACAAAACGAAUGGAUGGGAAACCCCAUCUAUCUACUGACAGAAGACCUCUAACAGGAGAAGGGAGUCACUGAAGUUCAAAUACAUACAAUUCUACAUGGCAUAUGUCUAAUCGAAAACUAUGAAGAGGGAGAUUUCAAAAAAGACAUGAACACUGAAUUCUAUUUAAGACAGUUUCUUUUAGGCAAGUGAUCAUGAAGAAAAAGAUCAAUAUGGAGUUAUCUUUAAGACUUGUUAAAAUAAAUAGGAUGAAUUAACUUAAAAUAAGAACAGACUAAAUUCCACAUUAAUGCCUCAAAGAUCUAACAAAGUUGCUGAUCUUUCUUAGAAUGCUUCUCUUAUAUUUAAUGAGUGAUGCCUUUUGUAAGAGUCACUCAACAUAGCUUUAGAGAACAAAAUUAGGUGACUGAUUUACUAGCCAAGGAAAGAGUCAGGAAGCAUGCAUCAUUAUAAAAUCUUGUUUAAUUUGUUUGCCUUGUCAGCUUAUGAGGCAAAUAAAUUAAGCAUUUCUUUUAUUAGAAAGACUACAGACUCAAAUAUUUUGGAUUGCCUAAGUGCCAUUAAUAGCAACACAUUUGUAAUGACACAUACCAUAUAACAAUAUUCUACCCCUUUCAACAAAACUAAUAGACUGAAGUUGAUUCUGCCUUUUUUGAUGACUAACUCUCAAGGCAGCAACAGUUGUCUAGGACAUAUCUUUUGUACACAGAGUAUUUAUCUGCCAUGAUUUGCUUAGACAAGAGAAAACAUCCUCUAGGUGCAAACUUGAGGAAAACAUUCCCUAUGAUGAGGUGGGAACUUAUUGCAGAAAUGUUGACUCAUGGGUUUCCUCAGAUAUUUGUUCAUCUAGUCAUGACUUGAGUGACCACCACAAAAAUUCUCAAUCAAUGUGAAUGGGGACAUGGAUACUUUGAUGGAUAAAGGGGACUACGGCAGGGAGAUUCAAUCUCCCAAAUCCUAUAAUUUGUUAUGAUGAUGGAAUGCUUAUCUAGAACUUUGGGUAAAAUGUCACAACUACAUGACUUUGUAUUUCAUCCAAUGUGUAAGGGCCUGAAAGUUACCCACCUCAUAUUAGUAGAUGAUCUUAUGAUUUCUUUGUAAAUGUAAUAAAGCAUUUGUCAAGAGAGCCAUAUAGGCAUUGCACUAUUUUUUAGAGGAACUGGUCUAGAGGCAAACCUGGAUAAAUCAAACCGAUUCAUAGUAGGGGUGUAUAACACAAUCAAAGCAAGAUUACUAGAUAUCACAGGUUUCACGUUGGGAGACUUUCCUAUGAGAUAUUUGGGAUUGCUCUUAUAACCAAAGAAGUAGAGUAAGCAAGAUUGACAUCAAUUUAUGGUUAAGAUCACUGCCAGAAUUUCUACUGCUUCUGCUAGACUUCUAUCCUAUGCAGGUAGACAUCAAGACAUGCAUUAACUCAGUUUUGGUUUUUUUGCAUAACUUCUGGGACCAGUAUUUAUACUCCCUGAAAGUGUUCUGAAAUGCGUGAAUAAAUUGCAUUGAGACUAAUUAUGGGGGAGUUCAGAAACAAAGAGGAAAGUGGAAUUAGUUUCCUAGGAGAGAGUAUGUAAGCCCAAAAAGAAUGGAGGCCUCAAUUUAAGGAACUAUAAACUUUGGAAUGCAGCCUCUGUGGGCAAACAGACAUGGUUGAUAAGUGAGAAGGCAGAUCUACUUUGAGUAAAAUGGGUCCAUAAAGAGUAUAUAAAGAAAGAUCUCAAGACUCUGGGAAUAUACUGCUCCCGAUAUUCUUCCUCCGUCACCUCUAUCUCCAAAUCAUCAGUUGAUAUGAUGAAUUGAUAUCAUUACCAAUGAUUACAAUUUAAUCAGUAUUUACUAAAAUGAAAAAAUAUUUUCCACGUUGAUGAGUAAAAAGGGACUGCAUGGGAUUGAAGAAAACCGACAUCUAGUAAAGCAGGAGAAAAUUUGGCAAACCCAUUUCGGGAGGCUUGUUUAAUUCCAUAAAGGGACUGCUUCAGGCGAACUGAGUUUUUCCACCUCUUCUCUAACUUGAAGAGCUGCGCCUAAGACUUUGAAGCGAAGGGAGGUUGUCGCGAGCCUUGCCUAUAUUUUUGUGAUUUCAUUCCCCUCAUGUGGAUAGUAGCUAGUAUUGGAGGAAACUUUAUAAACAUAAGAAUGUUAUGGCAGCCUGGUAGUAGAUCUGUAGCUAGUAUUAAUUAGAUAAAAACAUACUCUUAUAAUUAAUGCUAUUUUUUGUGUUCUUUAGGCUAUUAAUUAGUAUUUACCUUUUUUUAAGAACAUUAAAAAAAAGUAAAUUUAGGUAUACGCACUUUGCACGUGUCCCUAUUCGAUCACUAUAUAGUUAUAAAUGAAAUAAGUAGCAGUAAUAAUGUAGUCAAUUAUAAAAUAAAAAAUUUAAAAAGUGUAUAUUCUUGAAACUGAUUAAUACUAAUCACACUUAGCUAGAUGAAGAAAGAAAGAAAUCUGUCAUACAAAAACAUUCAGACAUAAAAUGCAAGUACUGAUUGGAUAAAUUCUAAAAUAAAAUAUUGAUGAAAAAUAUAUAUUUAAACUACACAUAUAUUUACCAAUAAAUAUAGUACAUCGCCGAUUUUCAAAAGUUUUACGUGGACACAACUAUAAUUGAAUCCAAUGUUCACCAUAAGCUAAAAUCCAAAUAUUAGUACGACUAAUAUGAAAAUAAUCUUAAUAAUUUCCUAAUGCAGAUAUGGUGGCCUUCGACAUACUUACAAUUUCAUUGAUAUUGUUAGCUUUGCUCUGUUUCCUUUCCAACAAAUGAUUAUUAAAUUUUUAUCAUAAAUAAACUAUCAUUAUGUUUUUCCAACAAAGAUUACUAUUUCUAAAACUAAUGGUACAUACUUAGAAUCUAUAGAAAUAUUUGUCGUAGAAAUUUUAAAAAAUAAAAAAUAAUAAUUUAAUAACCAAGCUUUUUAAAUAAAUACUUAUCGCUUGAAAUUUUAAGAAUAGCAAAUGAUUUCUAUGAAAGGAAAAAAAAGAGGUAAAAUUUGCCUUGUGUGAUUAAAUACAAAAAAAAAUAAAAAAAAAUUGUGGGGUUUCCUUGUAGAAAAACGUAACCUAGCUUCCUUCUAAUUUUUAUAAUAAUAUAAAGUAUUCUUACGUUUAUAAUUUUGUGGUUUGGUUGAUUUUGGAUUGUCGUAGGUUUUUUCUUUCUUAACGAUUUAUUUAAAGUAAAAUUUUAUUUGGUUUUAGAAACCUAAAUAUUAUGAUAACUUCUUCGAUCGUUUAAAUAAGGAAUGAUUUAAUAAAAAGUUGUUUUUAUAGUCCUAAACAUUAGAAAAAUUAAUUUACAAUUAUGUUCAAUGUGAACUCUAUUUUUAAAGGAUUAAAAAAGCAAAACUUUUGCUAAGGUUCAACGUGCUUGGCCUUCAACAUACUUACAAUUCACUUGCAAUAUUAAGUACCUUAAUCUAUUUUUUUUUUCUUCUAAUUUUUCUGUAUGUCCUCAUUGACUUCUCUCAAAGCUAAUAAUCCAUAAAAAGUCUUUAUAAUUUCCAACAUAUUUCUAGCUUUGCUCUGUUCCCUUUCCAAUAAAUGAUUAUUAAAUUUUUAUCGUAAAUAAAUGAUCAUUAUCUUUUUUCAACAAUGAUUACAAUUUCCAAAGCUAAUGGAACAAAUUUUAAAAAUAGAAAAAUAAUUUAAUAACCAAGCUUUUUAAACAAACUUAUCGAUUGAAAUUUUAAGAAUAGCAAAUAGUUCCUAUGAAAGGAAAUAAAGAGGCAAAAUUGGCCUUGUGUGAUUAAACAUAAGGACGAAGAACAAAACAAUUAUUGUGGAGUGUCGUUGUCGGAAAAGGGAACUUUCCUUCUACUUUUUAUAAUAAUAUAAAUUACUCUUAUGUCCAUGAUUUUAUAAUUUUGUGGUUUAGUCAAUUUUGUACUGUCAUGAGUUUUUUCCCUUUUCAACGUUUUAUCUAAAAUAAAAUUUUAAUUGAUUUUAAAAUCCUAAAUAUUAGGACUUGUUUGUUCGUUCGAAUAAGGAAUGAUUUAAUAUUUUUUUAUAAUCCUAAAUAUUAGAAAAUUAAUUAAUUUACAAUUCUAUUCAAUGUGGCCUCUACUUUAAAGGUUAUUUUUCAAUUAUUUUUUUGUUCUUAUAUACAUUUUGUAUUUAUUGACACGAUGUACAUGUGCAACACACGUACACUAAAUGACUAUUAAUAUUAUAAAAAAUAAUUAAAUAAUAACUUGAUGAAAAUAGGAAAUGACAAUUUUACUCUUUGUAACUUAAGUCUAUAGAAUUUUUAUUUGUUCACUAAACGUUUAUCAAAAUUAUAGGUAAGCUAAGUGAUGAGUUUAUGGACAGUGUUUCAUAGACGGCAAAUGAUUUUGUGAUAAAUUGUUUGCUUUAUAAUGAUUCUGGUAGAUUGACUAUGGAUGAACUAAUUAAUCAUCCGUUUAUUCGGAAUGCAACUUGACCCUAAAUUAAAGGAGAUUAUGCCACAAAUAAAGCAUUGAGUAUGGAAAAAUAUUUCGAACCAAAUAUUGAGAUCUGCUCUCCCAGUUGGUAUCUUCUUCCUUAAACUUUAAACAAGGAAAACAAUAUUUUUCAUCUAAUUUGAAGUCCGAUUUUUUAGUCAAAUAAGGAAAGAUUUAAUAAAUAAAUUGUAGAGUCUUUAAAGGCAAAAAGUUCAAUCAACAUUAAGAACCUUCAUGCUUUUAAAAUAAUUUGGAUCAUCUCUCAAAAAUAUUUCAUUAUUGUACCACGUUUUUUAUUUUGAAAUCAAUUACUAUAAUAUAAUUCUCAGAAUCUAUAAUUGAAAAUAGUGUUCCAAUACCAUCUUAACUGCAUUUAUUAGAAAAUAACACAAGUAGCUGUAGCUACAAAACCUCUCACGUUAGAAGUAUUUGUAAGCUUACACUCCCAGAGCAAAUACAUAUUAAAGCAAUUAAAUGUUGUUUUCAGAAAUCAUCUUAAUGCAUAAGCUCAACAGAUUCUGUUUCAUAUCGAUUAUGCGACAUACAUAUUUUAAUGAACUUAUAAAAUUUAAUGCGACGAUGACUGCAAAUCAAUUAAAUUAUUAAUUAACAUAAAAUACUAUUUCAAAAAUCAAAACAAAGGUAUAUUGAUUACCUCACAAUUUGUUAACUCUGCCCAGCCAUACAACCUUAAAUUCAAUUUAAAUUCUUGUGAUCACAUGGCCUGAUCUUACCAAAGAAGAAGUGUAGAAAAGCAAAGGAAAUCAUAAAAAAUUUCAUGCAAAACAAGUAUAAUAAGAGAAAGAAAGCACUAACUCAUGUGCAUAAGAACGAAAAUCCACACACUAUUCUUUAAUAAUUCUUUGAUAUGAGAAAAACGAUAGAUUCACUUUUUUUUUUGCUUCCUAUUAAGUACAAAAACUCAUGAAUCAUAAACAUCCAAGUCAACUUUCUUUAUAGCAUAUGCCUUCCUAAAGCUGUGAUUCUUCUAUAUUUGAUGUACUUGAGCCUUCAAAACAAUAACAACAACAAAAUAUCCAGUGUAUUUCACAAGUGAUAUUUGAACCUUCAAAACCAAAAGCAAUAAUGAAUAAUAAUUUAUGUAAAAUAUAAUUAUUUUCAUAAGUUGUAGACUCAAGCUUAAAAAGGUAUCCAAGAAGAGCUAAAAUGUAACGACCUGCUUGGUCAUUAUAGUCUUUUCGACAUUUUUGACUCUUCCCCGAGCUUGUUAGCUCACUUUUGACUCGAGAGGACCGUUGACACGUUUCCCGAGGUAUUUAGAUAUGAUUUGGGAGACUUUUUGGGAAUUUGGGCUUUAAGCGAAAAGAGUGGACUCAAAGUUGACUUUUGAGUAAACGGACCUUUUUUGGGAAUCCGUCCAUUCCGAGAGGUCCGGAUGGUCUUUUAGAACUUGUGUGCAUAAUUGGUCCGGUUCUCAAUGCACUCAAGUGCACUUUAAGACUUGGAUUGGGAAGUUAGAUUUGAGGUAUCAGGGGUUGACUCGGUCAACUAGACCUCCGUCGGGAAUUCCGAGGCCACGGGUGCGUUCGUAGAAUGUUUUUAUGUGUGCCUGCAUAUAUGGUAUGUGAGCAGAUGGCCUCGAGUGAUAGUCUGGAUUUUGGGUUGAGAUUGUGAUUUAAAUUAAGUAGGACCAAGACAGAAUACUUGGAGUGCAGGUUCAGUGGCCUACCGCGUGAGGCUGACGAGGAAGUGAGGCUUGGUACCCAGGCCAUUCAAAAGAAAGGAAGUUUCAAGUAUCUUCGGUCUAUUAUACAGGGAGAUGGGGAUAUCGACGACGAUGUUUCACAUCGUAUUGGUGCAGGGUGGAUGAAAUCGAGGCUCGCCUCCGGAGUGCUGUGUGAUAAGAAAGUGCCACUAAAACUUAAAGGCAAGUUCUACAAAGUGGUGGUUAGACCAACUUUAUUGUACGGGGCGGAGUGUUGGCCAGUCAAGAAAUUUCACGUUCAGAAGAUGAAAGUCGCGGAAAUGCGAAUGCUGCGGUGGAUGUGUGGGCACACUAGGAGGGAUAGAAUUAGGAAUGAAGAUAUCCGAGACAAGGUGGGAGUGGCAUCGGUGGAGGACAAGAUGCGGGAAGCGAGGCUGAGAUGGUUUGGGCAUGUGAAGAGGAGAGACACAGAUGCUCCAGUGCAGAGGUGUGAGAGGUUGGCUAUGGAUUGUUUCAGGAGAGGUAAAGGGAGGCCAAAGAAGUAUUGGGGAGAGGUAAUUAGACAAGAUAUGGCACAGUUUCAGCUCACCGAGGACAUGGCCUUAGAUAGGAGGUUAUGGAGGACUCAGAUUAGGAUAGAAGCCUAGGUGGCUUAUCCUUUCACCAUAGUAGUUGUAGUUUUGCUCAUUUGUUUAUUGCCAUUUGAUUUCUGCAUUUGAUUGCUGCUUAUAUUUGUUGGGCCGUUGUACUUUGGUUAUCUUAUUUAUCUAUAGUAGUUAAUGCUCCUUUCUUUCCGGACUGUUCUACCAUGACUUUCUCGCUUUUGUUAUUCCUUGUUUUCAUAUUGUUUUCGAUAUGCUUAGCCCUAUCUGACCUUUUGUCUUGUUUUCUUCUCUUGCUUUCCUCUCUUGAGCCGAGGGUCUUUCGGAAACAGCCGCCCUACCUUUCAAGGUGGGGGUUAGGUCUGCGUACACUCUACCCUCCCCAGACCCCACAUGGUGGGAUUAUACUAGGCUUGUUGUUGCUGUUGUUGUUGUUGGCGGUGGUGUCUGGUGCCUGCUCUGGCGGCACCAGAUUCGUAGCAGCGGCACCGCUAUAGAGGUUGCCAGGCGGCAGAAGCGGCUAGUACAUUUGUUGGCUGACCGUUGUGGCGGUCUGAGUGGCCGUUGAGGCGGGACCGCUGUCAUGGAAGCGGUAUCGAGCAGAUUAUUUCAUUAAAUGAGUAUUAAAAGCCCUAAGUCAGUCAUUCUUUGUUAUUUCGACUUUGGAGUUUUUGAGAGAUUUUCAAGGUGAUUCUUGGGAGAAACUCUUGGUGACUUUCAUUAUCUCGAGGCUUGAAGGAAAGGAAAGACUAAGGUGUGAUUGUUGGAAACUUUGUUGUUCGGCCUUCCAGAGUUCCAGGUUGGUUUGACCUAUACUCCUCGUGGCUGAUAGUAGUUCGAGGAUUGUUGUUUCGAGUCUUAUAGGGUGAGCACGAGGACGUUUGCCGCCUUGAAGAUUCUUCUUUAUUUAUGUCUUACUUGAUAUUCUGAGACAUAUUGAGACAAUUGAUGUAUUAUUAUUACUUCCAGACUUGUAGAUUCUAGUUAGAUGCUCUUGUAUGACCAGACCAGCUACUGGGGUGGUUUUGAUGUAUUUCCGCAUUAUUUAUCUAUUUAUAUGUCAGACUUACG